GUCGCCUCCUAAAAGGUAACGGAGGCGCUCAAAGGUUCCCUCAGAAUGGUUGGAAAUCAUUCAUAGAGUGUAAAGGCAUAAGGGAGCUUGACUGCGAGACCUACAAGUCGAGCAGGGUCGAAAGACGGACUUAGUGAUCCGGUGGUUCCGCAUGGAAGGGCCAUCGCUCAACGGAUAAAAGCUACCCCGGGGAUAACAGGCUUAUCUCCCCCAAGAGUUCACAUCGACGGGGAGGUUUGGCACCUCGAUGUCGGCUCAUCGCAUCCUGGGGCUGUAGUCGGUCCCAAGGGUUGGGCUGUUCGCCCAUUAAAGCGGUACGCGAGCUGGGUUCAGAACGUCGUGA
rnacentral:rRNA from 1 species